AUGUACAACGGCAUCGGGCUGCAGACGGCGCGCGGGUCCGGCACGAAUGGGCACGUCCAGACCAACAAGUUCUUCAUCCAGCCCCGGACCGGCGGCCCGCCGCCCAAGGCCCACAGCCACGACGACGGCGCCGCCGGGAUGAGGAAGCCGAACAAGGAGAUCCUGGAGCACGACCGGAGGCGGCAGGUGGAGCUGCGGCUGGUCGAGCUGAGGGACACCCUCGAGGAGCUGGGUUACACGGAAGGCGAGAUCGAGGAGCGCGUCGAGGAGGCGCGCAAGGAGGCCGAGCUGCAGACUGCCGCGCCGCGUCCGGUGGAAGGGUUCACGAGCACGCAGAGCCACCAUGUCGCAGCACGCAAGGAGAAGAAGCUCGAGACGCUGAGGGCUGCUCUUGGGCUAGAUGCUGAGGUUGGACAGAAGAAGAGUUCUCAAGUAGACAAUGAUCCGGAGUCUGGGGAGCUUGUACCUGCGAAGGAUGGAUUCUGA
rnacentral:rRNA from 1 species